UACGUAGGGUGCGAGCGUUGUCCGGAAUUACUGGGCGUAAAGAGCUCGUAGGUGGUUUGUCACGUCGUCUGUGAAAUUCCGGGGCUUAACCUCGGGCAUGCAGGCGAUACGGGCAAUACUUGAGUGCUGUAGGGAGACUGGAAUUCCUGGUGUAGCGGUGAAAUGCGCAGAUAUCAGGAGGAACACCAAUGGCGAAGGCAGGUCUCUGGGCAGUUACUGACGCUGAGGAGCGAAAGCAUGGGUAGCGAACAGGAUUA
rnacentral:rRNA from 1 species